UUUAGUUCCUGGAAUUCGGAAGAGAACGUUUGGUAAAUACCAAUUGACCACUUUGGGCUCGUGUAUUUGGAUUGGACCUCCUCGCUGUCCACUGUAAUUCCGAAAAAAAAAACAUUAACAAUGGAACCGGUAAUAACUUCAGGACUGUCUUAUAUAUUCUUUUCCUCUUAGAUUUGCUUGGUUUCAAGGAUGAAGAAGGUUACAAGGCCAAUCAUGUCAACGUCGUUGAAUCGGAUCCAGAAUGGAGAUCAGGUGGAACAACAUUACAAGGCCAAAGCACACAACGGUUUAUCAAGGCUGAGCCAAUCAGAGUGGAUCCUUCAAAGAAGAUUGAGUUGGUUCUCAGGCUUGUGGCAAGAGAGGGAGAAGAAGGUCUCAAAUUCCCCGAAGGCAAGUGCACUCCGUUGUCAACUCUGAUUCCACCAGCUGUCCAAGAGUAGAGCAUAGACUGGGUCGGUGUCUAUGCAAUGAUUGACUGUUAGAUAGCUUUAGAUAGAGUAACCUACAGAGUGACAACUGGAUUCACUUUGACGAAAUUAUGUCUAAACUGGAUAGUUGUGAAAAUAAACCACAUCGCGCUGAUUUUGUACGA